GUGCUCACUUCGACAGCACAUAUACUAAAAUUGGAACGAUACAGAGAAGAUUAGCAUGGUCCCUGAACAAAGAUGACACACAAAUUCGUGAAGCAUUCCAUAUUUAA
rnacentral:snRNA from 1 species